GCUGUCCACGCCGUGGAAUGGGGAACGCCUCUCCCGGCCCGGAAGCUACGCUGGCCGGGUGCGCUCCCUGAAGGGGGGCGCAAAGCCGACAGCCGUCGCAACCACGGGAGCACCUCCAUG
rnacentral:sRNA from 1 species